CAGUAGCCGCGGUAAUACGAAGGGUGCAAGCGUUAAUCGGAAUUACUGGGCGUAAAGCAUGCGUAGGCGGUGAGUUAAGUCUGCUGUGAAAUCCCCGGGCUCAACCUGGGAAUGGCAGUGGAUACUGGCUCGCUAGAGUGUGUCAGAGGAUGGUGGAAUUCCCGGUGUAGCGGUGAAAUGCGUAGAGAUCGGGAGGAACAUCAGUGGCGAAGGCGGCCAUCUGGGACAACACUGACGCUGAGGCACGAAAGCGUGGGGAGCAAACAGGAUUAGAUACCCCUGUAGUCCUUGUCUCUUAUAC
rnacentral:rRNA from 1 species